UUAAGGUUCCAACAACCUUCCUUGUAUGAAAAAUCUCUUUUCUUGUUUUCAUCUUAUCUCUAAUUCGGAUCGCAUUCAAAUUUGACAAGAGAUAGGAUUAUGAGUCAUCAAUCAUUACUGUCCACCCUUAUUGGGUCUACUACUUUGAUGCUAAAAUGGUCAAGCCAAAUUCUAUUUGGCAUGGGAUAAGGGUAUGGGUCCAAAUAUGGCGCAUGG
rnacentral:lncRNA from 1 species